AAGGAUCAUUGCACACACAAAGUUGCAGCAAACCCCCUUGCGAAUUUCGUGAUUGUCCCCCCUUUGUUGUUGGAACUUGGGGGGCUGGGACAGUUGUUUCUCCUUGCCACUAAUUGAUCGUUAGUUGGCAGGGUGGUUGGACGCGUCUCGGCCUCCCAAGUCCCUCGCUCCUUUUCGGGGGCGCGCGGGAUACACACUUGGUGUGUAUCCAACAACGACCAACUGUUGCACAAUGCAUCUCCAAAAAUGACUGAGUAUAAAAACCGGGACGACCCUCGAAAAGAGCGAAGUCCUCGAGUUGUAAUAAACAAAAACAACUCUCAGCAACGGAUAUCUUGGCUCUU
rnacentral:misc_RNA from 1 species